GAAAUGCGAUAAUUAAUGUGAAUUGCAGAAUUCAGUGAAUCAUCGAGUCUUUGAACGCACAUUGCGCCCCCUGGUAUUCCGGGGGGCAUGCCUGUCCGAGCGUCAUUGCUGCCCUCAAGCACGGCUUGUGUGUUGGGCUUCCGUCCCUGGCAACGGGGACGGGCCCAAAAGGCAGUGGCGGCACCAUGUCUGGUCCUCGAGCGUAUGGGGCUUUGUCACCCGCUCCCGUAGGUCCAGCUGGCAGCUAGCCUCGCAACCAAUCUUUUUAACCAGGUUGACCUCGGAUCAGGUAGAGAUACGCGCUGAAGAUAAGC
rnacentral:misc_RNA from 1 species